rnacentral:tRNA from 1 species
GCGCCUGUGGCCUAAUGGAUAAGGCGUUUGACUUCUAAUCAAACGAUUGUGGGUUCGAGUCCCAUCAGGCGUG